GGAUGAACGCUGGCGGCGUGCCUAAUACAUGCAAGUCGAGCGAACUUUUGGGAGCUUGCUCCCACAAGUUAGCGGCGGACGGGUGAGUAACACGUGGGUAACCUGCCUGUAAGACUGGGAUAACUUCGGGAAACCGGAGCUAAUACCGGAUAACAUUGAAGACCACAUGGCCUUCAAUUAAAAGGUGGCUUUUAGCUACCACUUACAGAUGGACCCGCGGCGCAUUAGCUAGUUGGUGAGGUAACGGCUCACCAAGGCGACGAUGCGUAGCCGACCUGAGAGGGUGAUCGGCCACACUGGGACUGAGACACGGCCCAGACUCCUACGGGAGGCAGCAGUAGGGAAUCUUCCGCAAUGGACGAAAGUCUGACGGAGCAACGCCGCGUGAGCGAAGAAGGCCUUCGGGUCGUAAAGCUCUGUUGUUAGGGAAGAACAAGUAUCGUUCGAAUAGGGCGGUACCUUGACGGUACCUAACCAGAAAGCCACGGCUAACUACGUG
rnacentral:rRNA from 1 species